rnacentral:rRNA from 1 species
UACGUAGGGUGCGAGCGUUGUCCGGAUUCAUUGGGCGUAAAGAGCGCGCAGGCGGCUUGGUAAGUCGGAUGUGAAAUCCCGAGGCUCAACCUCGGGUCUGCAUCCGAUACUGCCCGGCUAGAGGUAGGUAGGGGGAGAUCGGAAUUCCUGGUGUAGCGGUGAAAUGCGCAGAUAUCAGGAGGAACACCAAUUGCGAAGGCAGCUCGCUGGGACGUUACUGACGCUGAGGCGCGAAAGCGUGGGGAGCGAACAGG